rnacentral:ncRNA from 1 species
ACUCUGAAAAGAGGACAGUCGUCCCGCCGACGGUGAAAGCGCUAUCCGCGUGAAACUCUCAGGCCAAUGACAGAGGGGG